ACAGAGGGUGCAAACGUUGUUCGGAAUUACUGGGCGUAAAGCGCGUGUAGGCUGCUUGGAAAGUCGGGUGUGAAAGCCCUGGGCUCAACCCAGGAAGUGCACUCGAAACUUCCAAGCUCGAGUCCUGGAGAGGGUGGCGGAAUUCUCGGUGUAGAGGUGAAAUUCGUAGAUAUCGAGAGGAACACCUGUGGCGAAGGCGGCCACCUGGACAGUGACUGACGCUGAGACGCGAAAGCGUGGGGAGCAAACAGGA
rnacentral:rRNA from 1 species